rnacentral:lncRNA from 1 species
AUCUCAAUGAGACUUGAGCUCUGCCGAUUUUCUUUUUUGCUUUUAUACUAAAGUGUACUUUAGAAUGGCGUACCUAAUUUCUGUAUUCCGACACCUAAUGCAGAUUAUGUUGAUUUGCAGGUGGGGUGGAGAUUGCUUGGCUCCGACGAUUGCCAACCUGUGAGACCCCAGAGGCUUCGAAGCUUCGAGCUUCCAGCCUGGAGCAGCGUGUGCAGUGCUGUGUCUUAGUACCCUGCGAGAGUCCCGAUGCUAAUGGCUCAAGCAACGAGGACACUCAAUUACAGGGAAACUGUCACAUGCAAAAAAGAGUUCUAGCAGCAAGAACAGGAAUAUGAGCAGCGGUCCUGUCACGCGAAAUAUGACUACAGGAAAGAGUAGGACUGUGAACAGCACGGACUUCCCAACUCCUCUUCGCCUUGCAUGUUCAGGUGAGAUUUAGCGAACUCUCAGGAGCCCUAAUGCUGUGUGCCAGUGGGAGUUAACAUGCAUUAGACGGCAGCCUCGAGAAUGGUAGAGUUUCUUAGA